CGGCGGACGGGUGAGUAACACGUGGAUAACCUACCUAUAAGACUGGGAUAACUUCGGGAAACCGGAGCUAAUACCGGAUAAUAUUUUGAACCGCAUGGUUCAAAAGUGAAAGACGGUCUUGCCGUCACUUAUAGAUGGAUCCGCGCUGCAUUAGCUAGUUGGUAAGGUAACGGCUUACCAAGGCAACGAUGCAUAGCCGACCUGAGAGGGUGAUCGGCCACACUGGAACUGAGACACGGUCCAG
rnacentral:rRNA from 1 species